rnacentral:antisense_RNA from 1 species
CUUGAUCGAGCCGAGCAACAGCGGCUUCCCGGCAGGGCGAGCCUGACCAUAUGCGGCCAGCAGUGCCUGCGCCUC